GGUAGCUAUGGUUAUGGUUACGGCAGGCUUCAGUUUGGAGCUCUGCUUCCGGAUACUUUGGUGUCGCAGAGCAACAGCCGUGGUUGUUGUAACAGUGUGAGGUUUUUGAAUGUGUAUAGUAGCGAGCUUUUGAUAAAGUUUCAGUCAGUUGACAGAGUUUGAGUUUUCUUUCCAUGUCUUUGAAACUACAUUAAAUGGCCUCUUAUACACACGAAGAGUUUGAACUCAGCCAGAAACAUGAAGAUAUACUGGGGAAAAGAGCAUUACUGCUGCAGCAGAUGGAAGCGCAUUAUGAACAGCAGAAGGCUAAGAAAAAACAGCAGCGUCUGAUGUCUCAAGCAGCGAAGGAGAGGAAUGCUCAGAUCCUUAAGGAUUUACAGAAUGCUGAAAAAAAUCUUCAAACCAGACAGCUGCUUCACCCAGAUAUUAUUAACCUUGAGACUCAUUAUUGGGCCUCAGUUGAACGGAAACUACCAGAAUGGGAGCAGUAUUUGCUUGGGAAAGGGCAACCGCCGGUGAGUGAGACUGGGAGAUUGCUUAGACAACAGAAACUGAAAACUAGACAACAAGAUCCCUCCCCUGCACAAUGCAAGGGUAAACCACCUCGACCCAAACCUAGAUGAGCUGUCUGGUGUGUAACUUAUUUAUAUUUUUUGCCCCAAAUUGUUAUUUUAUUUAUUUAUUUUUAUGUGUUAUAUAUUUGAUUUAAAUAUUAUAUAUGCAAAUACAGAAUAAAUGUGUUCAUUCAAUAGUGCAUUAACAUUCGCUUACACAAGUGCAUCCACAUGGGGGCAAUACUGACUACAUUUUCUGUAACUACACCACUGUGUAUCGAAAAAUGAAUGAAUCACUUGUAAAAAAUCAGCUGUGAUUUACAAUGAAGUAAUAAAACUAUUAUUUGUGCAGUUAGCUAUCAAAUUAAAUGGUAUUAUUGAAGUUACUUUAAAAUUAGUUCAGAUUAGUUGUUUUCCUUUACAAGUAAAAAAAGGAUUAUCCAUAUAGUGUCAAAUAAUAAACAUGUUUUCAAGAAAAAUUAAUUUACCAUUCUAUUUCCUAACCCACUAUUUCUCUCCAAAUGUACGUAACAGAAACUGUAUCUGAGUUGCAUUAUGCAAUGCUAAGCAUUACUAGUAUCUUCAAGAACAUUUUCUGAUGUCCAGCUUAAAUAAAAAAAUCUUGUCUCAAGACGCACAAAUGCAAAUUUGUGUGCAAAAAUGUUGCUUUUAAAUGCACCCCUAAACCUCAUUGCCUCCUACCUGAACCCUCAACAACAAUGAGGUCAUGACUGCCAUCACACAAAGCCUCUCAGAGCACUUGGACUGUCCAUGUAAUUGCUCUUGUAUUGCCUGUCUGUUGAAGGGUCAGCCACUUGAGUUGAGAGUUAAGUUGUCUAUAAUUCUGAAAAUUACGCAUUUGAUUUGUUCUUUGAUUAGGUUUGUUGUUUAACUAGCGUUUUCUCAUAUUCAGACUGGUGGUUUUGGGAAUCCAGGCAUGAAACAAGCUCUAAAGUAGCUUGUAUCUAAGGAGAGAUUGCAGACCGUGUCCUAGCCUAAUUGGAUGAUCAAACCAGUUCAGGGUGACACGGAGUGGCGGCUUGACAAACGCGAUCAUCUGGAUGGUCACGGUUGAAGUGGUGGUGGUUGGCAGCUGCCCUUCCUCCUCAGCUGGGACUCCUGCCCCUGAGGUCAGGGCACCAGUCAAGGCUUCCAAAUUGGCAGGGGGGUUGGUUGGCUGUGGAGGGGUGGAGAAUUCUGGGUGUGGGUGGAGGGCACGACAGCAAAUUAUCUAAAAGGGUUUUGAAGAGCACGAUCUGGAGCCCUUCCAAAUGACUAGUUCUGCAUUAUGUAUUCUAAUAGGGAAAGCCCUGAGGUGGUUUGGCUACGGAUACCACUGCCAACUGAGGCUGUCAGAGCCCAGGCACAGGCCAAGGCCAAAUGUUGUAGAUCAGCUCUGGGCUUCAGACACCUGGCCAUCAGCCAGAUCUUCAGAACACUAUCGUAAGAAGAUAGAACAAAUUUGUUUGUUACUGAAUAACUUGUGUCUGUAAAAAUGGCAUAGUUGCUGUUACAAGAAAGCCUGAUUAUGUUGAGGAUUAUGGCACUUUGAUUAAAUAAUAGUAAAAUUACUAAAUAAAAAUACAUAAUGACAUUUUUGAGUAUUUUCAU